rnacentral:rRNA from 1 species
AUGUGUACUCUUAACAUAUUCAAUAUGGUCGUUUUCUUUUCCCAACAAUCUAAGGAAAUGAAGCUCAAAUUUUGGGUGCGCAGUCACUUUGUUCUGUUUAGUUGCUUCAAAGUUUGUCAAGAUCAAGCGGCGGAAGGGCCUAUGAAGGCACUAGGCGUGCCAUGUGAGUUUUGUCAACUUGUAGGUCACAAAAUUACACAGAUGGAUGGUUCAGAACUUCAGAUUGCUUUUUUGGUAGUAGGAAAUGAGCUGGGAUUGUUCUUAAAAUGUAUCACCCACGAUCACCAAGAUCAGUUCUACUAA